CCUUUUUAGGAAAUCAUACCAGAAUAAUCUCUCCAAAGGAAGAUGAAAGAAAGAAGGCAAGAGGCUAUACAAAGUUCAUCAGAGAAGUACAUGUGAUGGGUUUUAUGAAAAGAGAAUUGAUUACCAUCAGAGGACUAUUGCCUGUCCAUUACCAAUGCUGGGCACUUAAAAAAUGAGGCACAGUCUGGAAAGGAGACACUGUGGGGAGUUAGUCUGCUCUCUUCAAGGAUUGUCUGUCUUGCAUUCCUCAAGGAGUUUCCAGACUUGGAAGAGAGAAACACAGGGGCCAAAAGCCUCAAUCCUAGAAAUGACAGUGAUGACAGAGAAGGAUCAGAGGAGGGAAGCCAGUGAGCAUCCUCUGGGUUAAGCCUACCAGUAAGCAUCCUGGAUCACUUCCCCACCUGGUCCCUCUGAAUCUGGGAAUGAUUAUGGCAAUGAGGCUGGAACAACAUGUAUUAGAAGUGAACAGCAUCACUGAGAAUUUAGAGACUGUGUCUAGUUUGGAAGAACCCAAGGGAACUUCACAAAAAGUAAUCAGAGUGAGUAGAGACGGAUACAUAAUGCAAAGUGUUCCCUCCAGAAACUUUACUUCAACAAGAACAAGAGCAUUUCCCUGAAGGACAUGAAUAACGUGAAGUGUAACUGUUCACCAUGCUUCUCCAAGGCACCAAAUGGGCUUUUAAGGCACACAUUCCUGGGGGCUUAACAAUGGAUUCAAAAUAGAAACUGUAAAUUUGUUCCUUUUCUUUCUAAGUUGUCAAUGAGAAGCACACAGUGUUGGGUUGUUGUACAGCCUGCCUUUAUCAGGUAAUAAUACACUGGGAGUUUUAUUUUUUAAGAAAAUAGUAACACCUCAGAGGUUUCAGUAUGCUUCACCCUCUAGUUUAUGUAGUCAACCACAGGCCCCAGAGCAGACUCUGGCAGCCUUUGAAAAUAUCUGCAGAACACAUUGUGAAAUGUCAGCUUACUUUAUGAUAAAACAACAAUAACAAAGAUAUCAUUUUCAUUUAUAAGCCCUUAGAAUUAAUAAGCCUAUGUGCUAGUCACUUCUUCAGAAGAGAGAGCAGGACAAGGUACAAACAAAGAAAAUUACUCCAGAUAUGUCCAGAUGCUACUGUAAGGAAAUUGAGCCUCAAAUUUCUUCUGCCUCACUUCUUUACCUCUACUUCUGAAACACCAUUUUUAUUCCAAUAUCCUCCUUCUCGAUUAUUUUUCAACAAGGAGCCCUGUGAACCACCUGUGGUCAACAGAAACCUCUCGCUGCAGACAUAACUGCUUCCCACUAUUCCUAGUCAGAAUAAAUUGUCCUGUUUCCACUAUUUUUGGAUCCUG
rnacentral:lncRNA from 13 species